AACGAACGCUGGCGGCAGGCUUAACACAUGCAAGUCGAGCGGAGAUGAGGUGCUUGCACCUUAUCUUAGCGGCGGACGGGUGAGUAAUGCUUAGGAAUCUGCCUAUUAGUGGGGGACAACAUUCCGAAAGGAAUGCUAAUACCGCAUACGUCCUACGGGAGAAAGCAGGGGAUCUUCGGACCUUGCGCUAAUAGAUGAGCCUAAGUCGGAUUAGCUAGUUGGUGGGGUAAAGGCCUACCAAGGCGACGAUCUGUAGCGGGUCUGAGAGGAUGAUCCGCGACACUGGGACUGAGACACGGGCCAGACUCCUACGGGAGGCAGCAGUGGGGAAUAUUGGAAAAUGGGGGGAACCCUGAUCUAGCCAUGCCGCGUGUGUGAAGAAGGCCUUAUGGUUGUAAAGCACUUUAAGUGAGGAGGAGGCUACUGAGACUAAUACUCUUGGAUAGUGGACGUUACUCGCAGAAUAAGCACCGGCUAACUCUGUGCCAGCCGCCGCCGUAACAC
rnacentral:rRNA from 1 species